rnacentral:rRNA from 1 species
AGCGAACGCUGGCGGCAGGCCUAACACAUGCAAGUCGAACGGAUCCUUCGGGAUUAGUGGCGGACGGGUGAGUAACACGUGGGAACGUGCCCUUUGGUUCGGAGCAACUCAGGGAAACUUGAGCUAAUACCGGAUGUGCCCUUCGGGGGAAAGAUUUAUCGCCAUUGGAGCGGCCCGCGUCUGAUUAGCUAGUUGGUGAGGUAACGGCCCACCAAGGCGACGAUCAGUAGCUGGUCUGAGAGGAUGAUCAGCCACACUGGGACUGAGACACGGCCCAGACUCCUACGGGAGGCAGCAGUGGGGAAUCUUGCGCAAUGGGCGAAAGCCUGACGCAGCCAUGCCGCGUGAAUCAUGAAGGUCUUAGGAUUGUAAAAUUCUUUCAGCGGGGACGAUAAUGACGGUACCCGCAGAAGAAGCUCCGGCUAACUUCGUG